AUUCAUCAUCCACCUAUCUUGAGGCUAGCUAGCAUUCCAUUAUCCAAGCUCCAAAGCGGAAAGGGAGAAGCACUCUUCGUUUAUCCGGCAACUCUUCUUACCGGCAGCUCCCACGCCCCAGGCCCAAGCAAGCCAUCAUCUCAGGUACUGCACGCAAAUCCAAUUGUUGCAAAGAAUGCAGACAGACAGAUAUUCAAAAGGGUGGUGAGAUGAGAGCCGUCUUAUUCUUUUACGCGAAAGUUGAUAUCAUCAGAUGGAACUGAACAUAAUCACAUAGGAGCUCUGGAAGGCGGCACCGCACUGUUCGUGCUGCUAUUCUCUCUGAUGGAUCGCGAUGAAGUAAGUCGAUGUGUCAACGUUCAAGUCUUCAACAGUCUGAUCUCAAAGGUUGAAGCUGCUUGAUACUAGUAUUGAGGCCGUGGCGUAUCCUCAUAUCAACUCUAUGGCGGAGCUCGCAAUAUUAGCAG